CCUACGGGCGGCAGCAGUGGGGAAUAUUGCACAAUGGGCGCAAGCCUGAUGCAGCCAUGCCGCGUGUGUGAAGAAGGCCUUCGGGUUGUAAAGCACUUUCAGCGGGGAGGAAGGCGUUAAGGUUAAUAACCUUGUCGAUUGACGUUACCCGCAGAAGGAGCACCGGCUAACUCCGUGCCAGCAACCGCGGUAAUACGGAGGGUGCAAGCGUUAAUCGGAAUUACUGGGCGUAAAGCGCACGCAGGCGGUCUGUCAAGUCGGAUGUGAAAUCCCCGGGCUCAACCUGGGAACUGCAUUCGAAACUGGCAGGCUAGAGUCUUGUAGAGGGGGGUAGAAGUCCAGGUGUAGCGGUGAAAUGCGUAGAGAUCUGGAGGAAUACCGGUGGCGAAGGCGGCCCCCUGGACAAAGACUGACGCUCAGGUGCGAAAGCGUGGGGAGCAAACAGGAUUAGAUACCCGGGUAGUC
rnacentral:rRNA from 1 species